AUGCAAAUGUUCAAUUUGUUGUUUGACAUUUGACAGCUCUAUGGUUUCGUUCAGAAAUUGUAAAUAUUUUUACGUCCGUCAUGCAUGUUGGACAGAUUGCUGGUGAGAGUGUGGGUAAGCCUAUUUAAAAAAAACGACUACUGUCAGUGUAAGAUGACACUGGUGACAGAUGACACACAAACAUGUUACAUGUAUUGUGCAUUGAUUGACGGGUAAAACCAUGGUAAAACCAAAACUUUGUGCUUUACCAGUCUGAAAUUAAGUUUAAUUUUCAGUAAAGGGUCUAAAUGUUUGUGACUAACCUAAGCCCUCCUACGUGUACACGCUCGACGCAGCUAGCCAACUUUAUUGUCACGCGUGCAAUAGAGUACCUAUUAAAGGCCAAGUUCGGCCUGGCCAGCCAGGGUUCACGCUAGACAACGUCAACGAUUUAUUUGGGGUCGCCGUCAUCGAAAACGAUGAGGAGGAGGAGGACUAUACUUACUAACGAUGACACGGCACCGCCGCGUAAAACAAACCUAUGCCGAAAAUCAUAGUUUCAAGUAUUUUGAAUGCUGUAGCCAGAAGACUGCCAGACAAAUGUGGAUUAAUAAGGUUGUGGAGAUAAAAAAAAAUACAUCCACACUACAGCAUCCGAAAUCUCAAAAUCAUUUGCUUCUAUAUCGAAGAGCUCUCUGGAUUUUUUUGAUGACUUUCCGGUCACUUAUCUUGACAUAAAUGCUGAAGGAAUUAAUUAUGUCACUUUAAAAGGAGACGAAGAGCAGGACGGUAUUAUAAAACAAAGUUAAACAUCACGGCCCGAAGACCACCCAAAUGAUGAAAAUGUAUUAACUAGGUUCAGUUCUUUUCAAAUUUGUAUUAAGGGGAGAAAAUCCAAAAUUAAAAUUCAGAUAAAAACUUUAAUGUUUUAAGAAAUUGUAAGUCAUUUCAAGUUUUAGACAUUUUGAAACAAAAAAAUGUUUUGAGAAGAAUGUGUUUGACAGAUGGUAAAGC